AAACUAUCACUGCACUGCACCACAUUCCUAAAGUCACAAAGUAUGCACAGUGAAAAUUUUAAACAAAAAGAUAUUCAAUAAAAUGUACUUCAGCAGAACUUUUCACAUUAAAUGCAGACAUUACAUUAAUUUAUUUAAAUGUGAACAUUAGCUGCAUGCCAGGAUAAGUAUUAGGGAGAAAAAUCUUGUGCAUAAAAAAGCAACCUACAAUUUGAAGAUUUCAAAAUCCAUUUGAACUACAUAUUGGUGAAUUUGUUUUAUUGAGCCUUGGAACUGAUAAAUGGACGUUUUAACUCUUCUGGCUGGUAAAUUCAGCAUCCCCAUGACAGCCAUAAGCUCUGCUAAAGGUCGAAGACUUAAAGCGCAUUUUUGAACUCAGGCUUUUGUAUCGCGAGAGCAUCGCACAAAAGAGAGAGCGACAGAGAGGGAGAGGAAAAAAAACGUUUGGGGGAAAGUGGAGGAGGGAUGUGGACUGAACUCUGUAGAGCAGGACAGACGCUGUGAGUGAGUUUUGGUGUUCUCAUCCUUACGCCAGCUCCUCUACCUAGCUGCUCUGUGCAAAAGCAGACGCUCCAUUGGAUGAGCACGACCAGACUGCAAAAGUUACAAUGCGCAUCUGUUUAUUAUAGCUGCUCAGCGAGAGGCUUGAGUGACUUUUCCUCUUUUCCACAGCUUUGCCUCUCAGCGUUUAUUCAGCUGUACCUGCAAGUCAAAGGAAAGGAGCCCUCGGUCGGGUCCUUUGCGAAUCUCCUGCUCGGGAGACAAGCUCUGACUCCAGACCACAGAAGUCAGACGGGUCUGGGAAAACUUAAAUUGUGUUGUUCUGAGCGCUGGAGUUGCACACAUGUGGGUGGACAUGCGGGACAGCGCGCGCGGAGAACGGCUGCCGCAGCUGGUCGUUGCUUUGCUGGCUGUGCUGUCGCUCUUUGCUGGGCUUGGAGACCCUGCUGAGAUGGUGGACACCGAGGACAGGGAGGCGGUGACCAAGAUUACCGACACUAGAGCCAACCGGGCAAAGAGGAGGGGAGGAACAGACGUCCUGAGAGGGUAAUGUGCAGUGAUAUCUUGAUGGUUAAACAUUGGAAGAUUAUUUUCCACUUUUCUAUUCUUUUCUUUUUUCUUUUUAUUUUAUUUUGGAAUUAACCUAAGAUGGGCACAUUUUAAAAAUACUUUAUUCUAGUUUCGGAGCAGGUGCCUUUGCUGGUUCUUCUGGGAAUGUGAAGGUCAAAAAAUGUGUGUGUGUGAGUAUGUGUACUCUCAUAGGGGUGUGUGUCUUUUAAUAAGACAGACUGAGACCCCUUAGUGACAUGGUGUGUGAUGGGAAGUUUGCAGCAAAGUUUGGUAAUUAAAUACUGGCAAGAAUACCACAUUCCUGCUGACUGCAAUAAUAAAUUACAUCCAAACAAUGGAGGCCAUUGGUCUUGCGUCUGUGGCAGAGGGGGAGAGAAAGAGACUAACAGCCUAAUCCCCUUUUUAGCCAAAUACACCACACCCCAGUUGUGGAUAAAUGACAUCUGCAGCUGUACACAGUGGGUCACUGCUGGAUAGAGGAAAGACUGUGUGUGCAUGUGUGCAUAUGUGUGUGUGUGUGUGUGUGGAGAGAUAGGGAGAAAGACAGACAUAAGCAAUAACGAAAAGGAAAAAAAAAGACUUUGUCCAGUGAUGACGGCAAACAGAUGAUAUAGGUCACACAGUUGAGGGCUGGAUGAGCGUUCUCCACGGAAAUCUCUGUUUGACAUCCUAAGUUUUCAUUUAUCACAUCAUCUGGGUCCAGAGGCAGGAAGAGCAUAACUGUGUAAUGCAGACUCACCACAGUUUGAAUGGCUUCAUCAUUCAUUGAUCUGCUCUGACUGCACAGUGUUUACAAAAACCUAUGGAUGGGUGUAUGUUCAGUGGGUG
rnacentral:lncRNA from 1 species